CCCCUCUCAGGGGAGCACCUGGAGAGUUUUCCAAACUCUACCAGUCUCAGCUAUGGGAGGGACAGUCAAGCAGAGGCCUACCCAUUCCAUUCCUAGCUUGGCCAGUGGCUAGCGAGUGGAAGGCAAUCUGCUACAAGU
rnacentral:snoRNA from 1 species